AGUGAACGCUGGCGGUAGGCCUAACACAUGCCAGUCGAACGGCAGCACAGUAAGAGCUUGCUCUUACGGGUGGCGAGUGGCGGACGGGUGAGGAAUACAUCGGAAUCUACUUUUUCGUGGGGGAUAACGUAGGGAAACUUACGCUAAUACCGCAUACGACCUACGGGUGAAAGCAGGGGAUCUUCGGACCUUGCGCGAUUGAAUGAGCCGAUGUCGGAUUAGCUAGUUGGCGGGGUAAAGGCCCACCAAGGCGACGAUCCGUAGCUGGUCUGAGAGGAUGAUCAGCCACACUGGAACUGAGACACGGUCCAGACUCCUACGGGAGGCAGCAGUGGGGAAUAUUGGACAAUGGGCGCAAGCCUGAUCCAGCCAUACCGCGUGGGUGAAGAAGGCCUUCGGGUUGUAAAGCCCUUUUGUUGGGAAAGAAAAGCAGCAGGUUAAUACCCCGCUGUUCUGAGGGUACCCAAAGAAUAAGCACCGGCUAACUUCGG
rnacentral:rRNA from 1 species